GAUGAACGCUGGCGGCGUGCCUAAUACAUGCAAGUCGAGCGAACGGACGAGAAGCUUGCUUUUCUGAUGUUAGCGGCGGACGGGUGAGUAACACGUGGAUAACCUACCUAUAAGACUGGGAUAACUUCGGGAAACCGGAGCUAAUACCGGAUAAUAUUUUGAACCGCAUGGUUCAAAAGUGAAAGACGGUCUUGCUGUCACUUAUAGAUGGAUCCGCGCUGCAUUAGCUAGUUGGUAAGGUAACGGCUUACCAAGGCAACGAUGCAUAGCCGACCUGAGAGGGUGAUCGGCCACACGGGAACUGAGACACGGUCCAGACUCCUACGGGAGGCAGCAGUAGGGAAUCUUCCGCAAUGGGCGAAAGCCUGACGGAGCAACGCCGCGUGAGUGAUGAAGGUCUUCGGAUCGUAAAACUCUGUUAUUAGGGAAGAACACAUGUGUAAGUAACUGUGCACAUCUUGACGGUACCUAAUCAGAAAGCCACGGCUAACUACGUG
rnacentral:rRNA from 1 species